rnacentral:rRNA from 1 species
CGAACGGGUGAGUAACGCGUGGGCAACCUGCCCUCUAGAUGGGGACAACAUCCCGAAAGGGGUGCUAAUACCGAAUGUGACAGCAAUCUCGCAUGAGGAUGCUGUGAAAGAUGGCCUCUAUUUAUAAGCUAUCGCUAGAGGAUGGGCCUGCGUCUGAUUAGCUAGUUGGUGGGGUAACGGCCUACCAAGGCGAUGAUCAGUAGCCGGUCUGAGAGGAUGAACGGCCACAUUGGGACUGAGACACGGCCCAGACUCC